CCUACGGGGGGCAGCAGGCGCGAAACCUUCGCAAUGCGCAAAUGCGUGACGAGGGGAACUCGAGUGCUAUCAUCCUUUAGGGUGGUAGCUUUUCUCGAUCCUAAAAAGAUCGGGGAAUAAGGGCUGGGUAAGACGGGUGCCAGCCGCCGCGGUAAUACCCGCAGCUCAAGUGGUGGCCACUAUUAUUGAGCCUAAAACGUCCGUAGCCGGUUUUGUAAAUCUCUGGGUAAAUCCUGCCGCUUAACGGUAGGAAUUCUGGAGAGACUGCAAAACUAGGGAUCGGGUGAGGCGAGAGGUACUCCUGGGGUAGGGGUAAAAUCCUGUAAUCCUGGGGGGACGACCGGUGGCGAAAGCGUCUCGCUAGAACGACUCCGACGGUGAGGGACGAAGGCUAGGGGAGCAAACCGGAUUAGAUACCCGGGUAGUCCUAGCUGUAAACGCUGCCCACUUGGUGUUGCCCUUUCCUCGGGAAGGGGCAGUGCCGGAGCGAAGGUGUUAAGUGGGCUGCUUGGGGAGUAUGGUCGCAAGGCUGAAACUUAAAGGAAUUGGCGGGAGAGCACCGCAACGGGAGGAGCGUGCGGUUUAAUUGGAUUCAACGCCGGAAAACUCACCAGGGGAGACCAUGGUAUGAGUGUCAGCCUGAAGAGCUUACACGAUCACAUGGAGAGGUGGUGCAUGGCCGUCGUCAGCUCGUACCGUAGAGCGUUCACUUAAGUGUGAUAACGAGCGAGACCCUUGCCCAUAUUUGCCACCUCCCUCGCGAGAGGAAGAGCACUAUAUGGGGACCGCUAGCGUUAAGCUAGAGGAAGGAGAGGUCAACGGCAGGUCAGUAUGCCCCGAAUCCCCUGGGCAACACGCGCGCUACAAAGGACGGAACAAUGGGUUGCAACUUCGAAAGGAGGAGCUAAUCCCGAAAUCCGUCCGUAGUUCAGACUGAGGGCUGUAAUUCGCCCUCACGAAGCUGGAUUCCGUAGUAAUCGCGGAUCAACAGUCCGCGGUGAAUAUGCCCCUGCUCUUUGCACACACCGCCCGUCA
rnacentral:rRNA from 1 species